rnacentral:rRNA from 1 species
CCCCUAGAUGUUCUGGGCCGCACGCGCGCUACACUGAACAGUUCAACAAGUCUUAACCUUGGCCGAUAGGUCUGGGUAAUCUUUGAACGCUGUUCGUGAUUGGGAUAGACCUUUGCAAUUAUGGGUCUUCAACGAGGAAUUCCUAGUAAACGCAAGUCAUCAGUUUGCAUUGAUUACGUCCCUGCCCUUUGUACACACCGCCCGUCGCACCUACCGAUUGAAUGGUCCGGUGAAAUCUCGGGACGGCGGCUUGGUCGCUUGCGUCCGACUGCUGAAACUUGAUUAAACCAUAUCAUUUAGAGGAAGGUGAAGUCGUAACA